AGGCUACGCACAGAGCACCUCGUCUAUGAGCUCCCUGACCACCAUCCUAUUCUAGAAGGGUUUGAUAGGCGAGAAGCUGAGGAUAUAUUUCCCUACCUGUUAGCCAUUUGGACGCCAGGUAAACACAAUAACAACUGACCAUGAUUGUUCUUUUCAAAGA